rnacentral:rRNA from 1 species
AUAUCAAUAAGCGGAGGAAAAGAAACCAACAGGGAUUGCUCUAGUAACGGCGAGUGAAGCAGCAAUAGCUCAAAUUUGAAAUCUGGCGUCUUCGACGUCCGAGUUGUAAUUUGUAGAGGAUGCUUCUGAGUAACCACCGACCUAAGUUCCUUGGAACAGGACGUCAUAGAGGGUGAGAAUCCCGUAUGCGGUCGGAAAGGUGCUCUAUACGUAGCUCCUUCGACGAGUCGAGUUGUUUGGGAAUGCAGCUCUAAAUGGGAGGUAAAUUUCUUCUAAAGCUAAAUAUUGGCCAGAGACCGAUAGCGCACAAGUAGAGUGAUCGAAAGAUGAAAAGCACUUUGGAAAGAGAGUUAAAAAGCAC